UUAUUAAUAUUAAAAGCAUUAUUGGAUCAACCGGAACCCAUUUCGAACUCAAGUGUUAAACAAUUUUGCGCCAAAGUUACUGCUUAACAGUGGGAAAUAUGGUUAAAAUAA
rnacentral:rRNA from 1 species